UACGUAGGGGGCAAGCGUUGUCCGGAUUUAUUGGGCGUAAAGAGCGUGUAGGCGGCCUGAAAGGUCAGCUGUGAAAACUCGAGGCUUAACCUCGAGACGUCGGUUGAAACCAUCUGGCUAGAGUCCGGAAGAGGAGUGUGGAAUUCCCGGUGUAGCGGUGAAAUGCGCAGAUAUCGGGAAGAACACCCGUGGCGAAGGCGGCACUCUGGGACGGUACUGACACUGAGACGCGAAAGCGUGGGGAGCGAACAGG
rnacentral:rRNA from 1 species